rnacentral:rRNA from 1 species
UACAGAGGGUGCGAGCGUUGUCCGGAAUCACUGGGCGUAAAGGGCGUGUGGGCGGUUCGUUAAGUCUGGCGUGAAAGCUCUCGGCUAAACCGGGAGAGGUCGUUGGAUACUGGCAAACUAGAGGACGGUAGAGGCGUGUGGAAUUCCGGGUGUAGUGGUGAAAUGCGUAGAGAUCCGGAGGAACACCAGUGGCGAAGGCGACACGCUGGGCCGUACCUGACGCUAAAGCGCGACAGCAUGGGGAGCAAACGGG